GACGAACGCUGGCGGCGUGCUUAACACAUGCAAGUCGAGCGGAAAGGCCCUUUUGGGGGUACUCGAGCGGCGAACGGGUGAGUAACACGUGAGUAACCUGCCCCUGACUUUGGGAUAAGCCUGGGAAACCGGGUCUAAUACCGGAUAGGACUGCCUGCCGCAUGGUGGGUGGUGGAACGUUUUUUCGGUUGGGGAUGGGCUCGCGGCCUAUCAGCUUGGUGGUGGGGUAGUGGCCUACCAAGGCGACGACGGGUAGCCGGCCUGAGAGGGCGACCGGCCACACUGGGACUGAGACACGGCCCAGACUCCUACGGGAGGCAGCAGUGGGGAAUAUUGCGCAAUGGGCGGAAGCCUGACGCAGCGACGCCGCGUGGGGGAUGACGGCCUUCGGGUUGUAAACCUCUUUCAGCAGGGACGAAAUCGGACGUGUACCUGCAGAAGAAGCGCCGGCUAACUACGUGCCAGCAGCCGCCGUAAGAC
rnacentral:rRNA from 1 species